GACGAACGCUGGCGGCGUGCCUAAUACAUGCAAGUCGAGCGCAGGAAAUCAUCCGAACCUUUCGGGGGGACGUUGAUGGAAUGAGCGGCGGACGGGUGAGUAACACGUAAAGAACCUGCCCUCAGGUCUGGGAUAACCACGAGAAAUCGGGGCUAAUACCGGAUGGGUCAUCGGACCGCAUGGUCCGAGGAUGAAAGGCGCUUCGGCGUCGCCUGGGGAUGGCUUUGCGGUGCAUUAGCUAGUUGGUGGGGUAAUGGCCCACCAAGGCGACGCAACAUAGCCGACCUGGGAGGGUGAUCGGCCACACUGGGACUGAGACACGGCCCAGACUCCUACGGGAGGCAGCAGUAGGGAAUCUUCCACAAUGGACGAAAGUCUGAUGGAGCGACGCCGCGUGAACGAUGAAGGCCUUCGGGUCGUAAAGUUCUGUUGUAAGGGAAGAACAAGUGCCGCAGGCAAUGGCGGCACCUUAACGGUACCUUGCGAGAAAGCCACGGCUAACUACGUGCCAGCCGCCGCCGUAA
rnacentral:rRNA from 1 species